UACGUAGGGUGCGAGCGUUGUCCGGAAUUAUUGGGCGUAAAGAGCUCGUAGGCGGUGUGUCACGUCGGCCGUGAAAACCUGCAGCUUAACUGUGGGCGUGCGGUCGAUACGGGCAUCACUGGAGUUCGGCAGGGGAGACUGGAAUUCCUGGUGUAGCGGUGAAAUGCGCAGAUAUCAGGAGGAACACCGGUGGCGGAGGCGGGUCUCUGGGCCGAUACUGACGCUGAGGAGCGAAAGCGUGGGGAGCAAACAGG
rnacentral:rRNA from 1 species